rnacentral:rRNA from 1 species
GGAGGGGGGCGAGCGUUGUUCGGAAUCAUUGGGCGUAAAGGGUGUGUAGGCGGUCAUGUAAGUCCAGGGGGUGAAAGCCCCCGGGCUCAACCGGGGAAGUGCCCUCGAUACUGCAUGGCUUGAGUGCGAGAGAGGAGAGUGGAAUUCCCAGUGUAGCGGUGAAAUGCGUAGAUAUUGGGAAGAACACCAGUGGCGAAGGCGGCUCUCUGGACCGCAACUGACGCUGAAACACGAAAGCCAGGGGAGCAAACGGGAUUAGAUACCCCGGUAGUCCUGGCCGUAAACGAUGGGCACUAGGUGUGGGAGGUAUCGACCCCUUCUGUGCCGUAGCUAACGCAUUAAGUGCCCCGCCUGGGGAGUACGGUCGCAAAGGCUG